GCCUACCACAAUCCAUGAGUUCCAUAUUCCCUAAGACUGCCUCAAGAAAAUAGGGGGGCAGGGACAGCAAGAUGGCUCAGUGGGCAUGCCAUAACACAGGCCUCCAAUCGCCACAAAAGAUGCCUGAUAUUGGCCUGUGGCCUCCACAUGACCCCCAAAGAGAUUGAAACAACUACGCUGGAGGAUCUGUGAGAAUGUUUCAGAGAAGAUUAACCGAGGAAGAAAGACCUAACCUGAAUACGGAACCAUCCCACGGGCUAGGAUGGAGUAAGAGUGGAAAAAGAAAGUGAGCUGCAUUCAUCUCUCCCCAGUUUCUAUUCAGCUCCAUGUAAACCAGCUGCUACAUGAGCUGUGAGCAGCUCUGGCAGCCAUGCUUUCCCUGUCAUAGUAGAUCAUACUCUCUGAAAACUGUGAGCCAAAACAAACCCCCCUUCCCUAAGGUGUUCUGUCUGAUGCUCUGUUUCAGCACUAAAACAGUAACUACUACAAUUCUGUUACUGUAAUCAGCAAAAGAGCCGAAAUGUUUCCUUUUGAUUUUAUUACAACAUAUUUUCUUAGAAAGAACAAAAGAAUAAACCCAUUAAUAUGAUUAAUU